AGGUGAGCUCACACAGGGGUGAGUGUGGGAAGUAGGAGCUGUAGGAUGAGGUAAAGUGGGUGAUGAUGGAGGGAGGUGAGUUUGGACGCUAUGAACUCUGUUUCCACACUGCCACAGGUGAAAGAAUGUCUGUAAACGAGAAACAGAAGACACUGCUGCUUUCCCAGUUCGCCUCUGGACCAGGACACUGAAGCACAUGUUAGGAAAAGAAGAAGUUGUGAGCUUUUCACGGUGCCCGUGUUUUAAAACAUAUCCUUUACAUCGGAGACCACACAGCGCUGAGUUCCCAACUCUGCACUGACUCAUCACUAUGUCCAUGCAAACUUGUGGUCCCUCUGGGAGAGGAAGAAGAGGCUCUAGUGCAAACUUGGGAGUCUCUACAGCCCUGAAGAAUGCCCCAGAUCAGUUAGUCUACCUGACCACACACCACAGACGGAGAAAUCACGGGCCGGUGAGAAAUGCUGUCUUGAUCGGACUGGUUUUGCGUCCUGUUGUUUCCCCAGUCUACCGCCCCUCUUACUCUGCUGGGGCGAGAGUAUGCAAAGAACUCACGUCUCCUGUCUCUACUCAUGAAGUAAAUGCGAUCCUUUCUGAGGACAUACAGUGUCAGCCAUCUAUCUCUGUAGAGCUGCACUUCAUAUUCAGGUGUAUAUGACUGGAUUCUGCAGGCAAAUGCUCUAUCACUGAGCGAUAUGAUAUCUCUUGUUUUUAUAAUUUAUUUUUACUUCAUGUUCAUUGGUGUUUUGCCUACAUGUAUGUCUGUGUGAGGGUGUCAGAAGCUCUGGAACUGGAAUCACAGACAGGUGUGAGGUGGAAUUGAGCCCGGGUCCUUUGGAAGAAGAGCCUGUACUCUUAACUGCUGAGCCAUCUCUCCAGCCCCAUGACUGUAUUCUGGAGGACGAUUCUUACACGUUAAACUGAAAUUUAUGGAAUUAUCAGUGGGAGGAAAUAUAGCAGUAUAGCAGUC